UACAGAGGGUGCAAGCGUUUGUUCGGAAUUAUUGGGCGUAAAGCGCGUGUAGGCGGCAUGGCAAGUCGGGUGUGAAAGCCCUCAGCUUAACUGAGGAAGUGCGCCCGAAACUGCCGUGCUUGAGUGCCGGAGAGGGUGGCGGAAUUCCCCAAGUAGAGGUGAAAUUCGUAGAUAUGGGGAGGAACACCGGUGGCGAAGGCGGCCACCUGGACGGUAACUGACGCUGAGGAGCGAAAGGCGUGGGGAGCGAACAGG
rnacentral:rRNA from 1 species